rnacentral:sRNA from 1 species
ACACAAGAGAGGAGGUGGUCUGAAGAAUGUAUGUUCAUCGGAUGCGUGAGGUGGCUGCCCGCUAGCAGCUCCACUGCGGGAGAUUCCCCAGCGGUGCGCUGAGCGAAUCCCAGGCAGUCACCCGACCCCCGAGCCCCCGGACGAUCCAACCGGGACCACCGCGUUCAGAGAACGUGGCGGAACGGCUCGGGGGUCGCUCCAU